UGGGGAAUUUUGGACAAUGGGCGAAAGCCUGAUCCAGCAAUGCCGCGUGUGUGAAGAAGGCCUUCGGGUUGUAAAGCACUUUUGUCCGGAAAGAAAUCCUUGGCUCUAAUACAGUCGGGGGAUGACGGUACCGGAAGAAUAAGCACCGGCUAACUACGUGCCAGCAGCCGCGGUAAUACGUAGGGUGCAAGCGUUAAUCGGAAUUACUGGGCGUAAAGCGUGCGCAGGCGGUUUGCUAAGACCGAUGUGAAAUCCCCGGGCUCAACCUGGGAACUGCAUUGGUGACUGGAAGGCUAGAGUAUGGCAGAGGGGGGUAGAAUUCCACGUGUAGCAGUGAAAUGCGUAGAGAUGUGGAGGAAUACCGAUGGCGAAGGCAGCCCCCUGGGCCAAUACUGACGCUCAUGCACGAAAGCGUGGGGAGCAAACAGGAUUAGAUACCCUGGUAGUCCACGCCCUAAACGAUGUCAACUAGUUGUUGGGGAUUCAUUUCCUUAGUAACGUAGCUAACGCGUGAAGUUGACCGCCUGGGGAGUACGGUCGCAAGAUUAAAACUCAAAUGAAUUGACGGGGUCAUAGCUG
rnacentral:rRNA from 1 species